UACGUAGGGAGCAAGCGUUGUCCGGAUUUAUUGGGCGUAAAGAGCUCGUAGGCGGUUUAGAAAGUCAGGUGUGAAACCUCCAGGCUCAACCUGGAGACGCCACUUGAUACUUCUAUGACUUGAGUUCGGUAGGGGUAAGCGGAAUUCCUGGUGUAGCGGUGAAAUGCGCAGAUAUCAGGAGGAACACCAGUGGCGAAGGCGCUCUGCUAGGCCGUAACUGACACUGAGGGACGAAAGCUAGGGGAGCGAAUGGG
rnacentral:rRNA from 1 species